rnacentral:rRNA from 1 species
AUGGGGACCAUGACGAUCGGUGCCAAGUACAAGGCCACGCUCAAGGACCGCGGCACCGGCGGCGUCCUCCGCAUGAGUGAAGAUAAGUUAACAUUUACCCCUAAUGAUCCACGCUCACUAAUGAAGCUCAGUGUCGAUUUUCGGACCAUCAAAGGCCAUAAGUUCAACAAGGUAGAUGGUAGCAAACCAUCACCGGCAUUAUUGAAUCUUUCAAAAGAUUCUGACAAGGGGGGAGGCUAUAUUUUUGAGUUUGAGAAUGUUGGUAACCGUGAUUUUUGCCGCGACUUUGUAGCUAGGGUUUUAGGCAAACAUCAAGGUACUGUGCCUGCUAGACCAAAUGUACCUCCUGAGAUAUCAGCUGUGUCAACUGGUCCAGAACAGCUCAGUUCUGCUGAAAUGGAACGGCGGAUGAAAUUGCUACGAGAAGACAGUGAACUGCAGAAGUUACAUAAGAAGUUUGUGCUUGGCAAUAUUCUCCAAGAGUCUGAAUUUUGGGCAACAAGAAAGAAUUUACUUAACGAUGAAACAAACAAAGCAUCAAAACAAAAGCCAGGUUUCAAAAGUGCCAUGCUAGCUGAUGUUAGGCCAUCGGCUGAUGGACAGACAAACAAGGUUACUUUCAGUCUGACUACUGAGAUUAUCCAUCAGAUUUUCGCAGAAAAGCCAGCUGUGCAUCGGGCAUUUUUAGAUUAUGUCCCGAAGAAGUUGUCAGAAAAGGAUUUUUGGACAAAGUACUGUAGAGCUGAGUAUCUACUUAGGACAAAAAAUACUUUAGCGGCAAAAGCUGAGGCCGCUGAUGAUGAGGAAUUAGCCAUGUUUUUGAAAAACGAUGAUAUACUUGCCAAGGAGGCAAAGCUCAAGAUAAAACGAGUUGAUCCAACAUUAGACAUGGAGGCAGAUGCAGGGGAUGACUACAUCCAUCUUCCGGAUCAUGGGAUUCUCCGUGAUGGCAGCAGAGAGACAACUGAUAUUGAUAGCGAGUUGGCUAGGAGAACACUUUCUCAGGAUCUGAAUCGGCAUGCUGCUGUUGUUCUUGAAGGGAGAUCAACAGAUAUUGAAUCAACUGAUACGAAGACUGUGGCUGAAGCACUUGCACGGUCCAAGAAGGAACCACCUCCUAGCUCUGUUGCUGAUGAUGCUAGUCAUGUGAGAUUGGUAAAGGUGGCCCGCAUGACUGAGAUAGAGGAUCUGCAAGCUCCACGAAGUCUCCCAUAUGCACCACUUUGUAUAAAGGAUCCUCGAGAAUAUUUUGAUUCUCAGCAAGCCAAUGCUCUGAGACCUUUAGGUAGCAACGAUGGAAGAAAGGCCCGCAGCUGCAGCCUGAGCACCGAUGAUGCAUUCCGUCAUUUAAUGGAUCAAAUAUCUUCCGUGAAAAUGAACUGUCCGGUUGUUCAGUCAGAUGUUGCUCUAAAGGUUCUUAAUGAAUUGAAUGAAGGAAUUUCACGUUCACGGAGGCUUAAUCUUAAGAAUCCCCAAGACAGUCUCCUUGGUCGUCUUCCUCACCGAACACGAGAUGAACUUAUGGAUCAUUGGACGGCUAUCCAGGAGUUGCUGUGCCAUUUUUGGUCAUCAUACCCAAUAACAACCACAGUCCUUUGUAAUAAGGUUCAACGGCUUAAGGAUGCAAUGACACAGAUAUAUCAGAAGUUACAGGAUAUAAAGGAAGCAGCACAGCCUGAUGUACGGCAUGAAAUAUCUCAACUCGUAAAGCCCAUGACUCAGGCGCUGGAUGCUGCAUUCAACCAUGAGCAGCAGCAGAAAUCUUCAAAGGCCGGGAGCAAGCCCAAUGGGUUUUGA